CGCGGGAUAGAGCAGCCUGGUAGCUCGUCUGGCUCAUAACCAGAAGGACAGCGGUUCGAAUCCGUUUCCCGCAACCA
rnacentral:tRNA from 13 species